GAUGAACGCUGGCGGCGUGCCUAAUACAUGCAAGUCGAGCGAACGGACGAGAAGCUUGCUUCUCUGAUGUUAGCGGCGGACGGGUGAGUAACACGUGGAUAACCUACCUAUAAGACUGGGAUAACUUCGGGAAACCGCAGCUAAUACCGGAUAAUAUUUUGAACCGCAUGGUUCAAAAGUGAAAGACGGUCUUGCUGUCACUUAUAGAUGGAUCCGCGCUGCAUUAGCUAGUUGGUAAGGUAACGGCUUACCAAGGCAACGAUGCAUAGCCGACCUGAGAGGGUGAUCGGCCACACUGGAACUGAGACACGGUCCAGACUCCUACGGGAGGCAGCAGUAGGGAAUCUUCCGCAAUGGGCGAAAGCCUGACGGAGCAACGCCGCGUGGGUGAUGAAGGUCUUCGGAUCGUAAAACUCUGUUAUUAGGGAAGAAAAUAUGUGUAAGUAACUGUGCACGUCUUGACGGUACCUAAUCAAAAAGCCACGGCUAACUACGUG
rnacentral:rRNA from 1 species